UCAAAUUGUGCAGCUACAAUAGUUGAAAAGGAACUAAAACACAACUAUCAAUUGCUCCAACUUAGAAAUUAAAGGUACACGGUAGUAUAUUGUCCGUUGGCAUUAUGUUGAACAUAUAACAAAUUAGGAAAAGGAGGAAUAAUAUGGAUUACAGAGAGAACCUCUCUGUGUCUGGCCGCCGACACUCACGACUAACCCUCUGGGGUGAUGGGAUAAGACGCGUCCGACUGUUAAUCGGUGUUCUCGUACCAUACUGUCCUUACAUGCCUCCCCAACUCAUCAGUGAGCACCUCCUCAUCUCAGAAUAACCACCACCUGUUAUAAACACUCACGCAGUGGCAGCAUUUUUUUUUUAAUGUAGUUAGAUCUUAGUCCUUUUAGAUACCUAUUCUACUGACCAUGUGGGGUUUAAACCUGGAAAGAAUGGUUUUUUAAAUAUAAAGGAGGCAUAUCACCCACGAAAAAAUGCAUGCAUAACUUGUUGUUCUCAUAAUUAAUGCUCCAUCCGUCUCAAAUAAAUGACUCAAUUUUGUACAAAAUUUGUACUAAAGUUAGUAUAAAGUUGAGUCCUUAUUUUGGGACAGAGGGAGUAUGAAAUAUGCAUAUCUUCAGAACAGAAGGGAGGCACUCUAAAUAAUAAUAGUUGGUAUAACAUACUGGUCAUGAACAAAUAUGGAAACACCAAUAACUACCUUUUGAUAUUGACCAUGUUUCAUGAAUCUCGAAAUUGUUGCUUGACAAUAAAAAGAUCACCAACAUUCAUCAUGCAUGACGCUACUUUCUGACCCUAGAUGUGAACCAACAGCAAAUUGAUAACACAAAUAUUUCUGUUAAGAGAGUGUCCAAUGGGGAAAAUUAUGAAGCAAGAGAGUGUAGAACAAUGAGGUUAGCUGAUUGAGAAGGAUCCAGCAGGCUGACAUAGCUUAUUCUAAAUAAAGAUCAUAAACAAUCUGAUAUAGUAAAAAAGCUGCUCAAAUAGGCCCAGGUUACUAUUGAAAUACAAUCAGAACCUGAAUGUAUAUUAACUGAAUCAAAAUGGCCUAUCAUAUACAUGUUCAUACACAUAGAACAUGCAUGAAAAUGAAUCAACUUAAUCAAUGACAAACCUAAACAGAAAAGUGAACAUAAUAUGAUCACCAGAGCGACAUAUGUGUCUAAGUAUGCUCACAAUAUAAUAUGUAAGAGAAUCGACAUAUGACAUGCAACUGGAUUUUAUUGUUACAGAUUAGUAAGCAUCUGCGACCAUCUACUUGCAAUUUCCAUGACAUCUCUCUAUAAAUAGUCAUCUGCCAGUGUGGAUGCAACACCACAAAAAAUCUAGGUCUAGACAUAAUAAAAAAUGUUCAUUUGUAUCGUGCAGUUUAAUAAUACUAAAAGCAAACAAGUAAGAGGAGGGAAGCAAGGUCGCAACCUGCAAGCUGAAGCAGAGCAUGUCCUUGAGGCCAAAUUACGAAUGGUCCUCCUUCCACAUCAAUCAUUUUCAGAACAUAAACAACAGUAACUUUGACACAUCGUAUACAUUUUAGUUAGCUUAGCUGUGCAAGGCCUGAAAUAAACAGUGAUUACCAGUAUUAUCAGAUCAAGAAGCAGAUUGUAACAUACUGGGUACCAACAGUAAUCACCAAGGAAACUAAAAAAGGAGCACGAGGACAAUUUUCAAUCACCAGAACUGACCAUAAUACAUAAUCUGUGAAGCAAGAGUGAGCGUGUGAUUGCUGGAGCUUCUUGGCAUCGGUGGUUGCUGCUGCUCCUGUACCACACUGGAAGGUUGAAGACCCAGGCGCAAACGAGGGGACGCCGCUGCCCUAGCACGAGCACGCAUUAAAAGGAAAACUCAAAUCCCUAAUAGGAACUUUCUUUCAGCACAAGCUCAGAGCGGACUGAAUUGGAACAAAAUUGGAAGUGGCUGGAGGAGGUAAAUCACCCUGGACCGGCGCUUAGAUCGCCGCCGCCUAGCACAAGCGAUGCCUCCUUUUACGAGGAGGAGGCCCGGGCCUCUCACGACGCCGUCGCAGCUCCCCUGGGGCCCAGGGCCGAACCCGGGCGUCAUCGGCCCUGCCGCUGAACUCCGGUGCGGGGCUGGGAGUCGCCAACUCCCCUGGUGCCCGAGGCCGAACCCGAGCACCGUCGCCCAUGGUGUUGAACUCCGGCGUUGGGCUGGGAGCUCUGCCGCCCCCUCCUGUCUGCUGGCUCACCUCCCUCUCUUUCCUCUCACUAUGGACGGGGGCGGCGACGGCAAGAGGAAUGAGGGGCGCCGGGAAGAGGUCGCGGGGAAGACGCGGGCUAUGUCUCGCUCGGAAUCGCUGCCCGAUCGCUGCUGGCAGUUUUUUUCUCUCGCACGACACUAUUCAUAGCGGACGUGGACCCAGCGGUUGCGCCCAGCACUCCAGAU
rnacentral:lncRNA from 1 species